GAAGAUUUUUGGAGAUAUAAAUACCCAUGCAAGCAUUUCUGUGCAAUCUUUAUUUUUUACCCAGAGUGGGGUUUUGAUAAAAUGCCAGAAAGUUAUAAGACUAGUCCAUUAAUCUGUCUUGAUGAAAUGUAUGGGGUGGGCUUUAGAAGUGGCUCUUCAGUAAUUUCAUAUGAAGGCAGUAGUAGUGACGAAGCUGUUGAGGAGGCAGUUGAAGCAGCUGAGGAGGCUGUCGAGGUUGAGGAGGCUGUCGAGGCAGCAAAUACAGAUGGUGUUGUUCAAACCCAGAAUAUUCCUUUGCAGCAGUUUGAAGCAAGGGAGCUGUGUAAACAGAUUUAUAAUCUCACAUACAACUGCAGCAAGAGCGAAACAUUACAAAAAGUACUUGAAUCACUGAGCAACUGUGUGCAAGAUUUGCAAUUAGCAAAUCCUGAAGUUGGUGGUCUCCCAUUAGCAGUGCUAUCAACUUCCAAACAAUAGCGAAGAACGAUGCCAAAAGCCUUACAAGAUCUGUCUUAAACACAUUAUAACUUCCCAUUUGAAGGGUAAGAAAUGACUGUUUAUUUGAAAUUUAGAUAGCUCUUUGUCUAUGUAAAAUACAAAUAAGCUCCGUCAUUUCUGAUCCUCGAGAUGGAAUGCUAUGAGGUCUUUAUGUUGGUCUCUGCUUUUAAACUUUGUUGCACAUUUGAAUUUCGAAGUAGCAAUAGAUAAAAUAUUAUAAAAAGGAUAGUUGCUACAUUUGUGUGUGUGUUUGUGAGUGAGCGAGUGUGCGCGCGCGCUUUUGAAAAGGCCCUUGUUGCCCGAAAGAUAAGUCCGACAGUCUUUUUGUUGUGCCUUUCUGUGACUCAACAUCUUCACCAUUUGGUGAGCAGCAACAACUAUCCUUUUCAUAAUAUUGUUACAUUCCAUCCUGGAUUUUUCGUUGUUCAUCAGAGAAAAGAUUUUUCUGAGGAAUUAAACUAGAUGGUAGUGUAGAACUUGCAAACUUUUUAAAAUAUGAAGUAAAAGAUUUGAACUUUAAAUUAGAUUAAUUCAAAUAUGGGACAAUGUUGAGAAUUGAAAAGGUGGAAAAAAUAAAUAAGAUAUAUCUUAGUGGCAUUGAGAUGUCGUAUGACUGAUGGAGGAAAGAUUUUGCAUUUCUUUUUCCAAGUAAGAAUGCACUUGCUCUCACUUGCUUCAAAACAUGUCUAGUGAUUCACGUGAAACAGAGAAAAAGAUAGACUGCCCUGUUAAUGAACAUGAUAUUGCCCAGUAUCACUCUGACAGAAGAGUAUGGUGUUUCCUUGAUAUGGUAUCUGGUCAGCAAUGUCAUUGGGACCAAAUGAAAGUUACUGCAGAUACCACACAGAAGCAAUUACUGUUACUGGAAUACCAGUAAUGUUUAUUAAAUUCAGUUGUAAAGUAGUUCUGGGCAUUGCAGCUGGCGAGCAAUGUCAUUGGGCACCAAAAGAAGUUCAGUUAUGAUGGAUUUCUGGCCUUCAGUCCAUGGGAAAAUUCACACCAGAUUGCAUCAAGACUGUUAUAUUCCAAGGAUAUCUUGGAAGAUUGAUAGUAUUCCUGAAGGAAAACAAUCCAUAUAGUAUUUC